rnacentral:rRNA from 1 species
UACGGAGGGGGCUAGCGUUGUUCGGAAUUACUGGGCGUAAAGCGCACGUAGGCGGCUUUGUAAGUUAGAGGUGAAAGCCCGGGGCUCAACUCCGGAAUUGCCUUUAAGACUGCAUCGCUAGAAUUGUGGAGAGGUGAGUGGAAUUCCGAGUGUAGAGGUGAAAUUCGUAGAUAUUGGGAAGAACACCGGUGGCGAAGGCGGCUCACUGGCCCGAAACUGACGCUCAUGCACGACAGCGUGGGGAUCAAACAGG